rnacentral:rRNA from 1 species
AACGAACGCUGGCGGCGUGCCUAACACAUGCAAGUCGAACGGCAUUAGAGAGCUUGCUCUUUAAUUUAGUGGCGCACGAGUGAGUAACGCGUAGAUAAUCUGCAUGGUGAUCUGGGAUAACACCUCGAAAGAGGUGCUAAUACCGGAUAAGCCCACGGGAACUUUGGUUCUUGCGGGACAAGGGGGGGACCUUCGGGCCUUCUGUCAUCAGAUGAGUUUGCGUACAAGUAGCUAGUUGGUAGGGUAAUGGCCUACCAAGGCGACGAUAGUUAGCUUGUCUGAGAUGAUGAUCAGCCACACUGGAACUGAGACACGGUCCAGACUCCUACGGGAGGCAGCAGUGGGGAAUUUUGCGCAAUGGGCGAAAGCCUGACGCAGCAACGCCGCGUGAGUGAUGAAGGCUUUCGGGUCGUAAAGCUCUGUCAAUGGGAAAGAAGUGUAUUGUGGCUAAUAUCCACGAUACUUGACGGUACCCAUAAAGGAAGCACCGGCUAACUCCGUGCCAGCCGCCGCCGUAA